GAGUUUGAUCAUGGCUCAGGAUGAACGCUAGCGGGAGGCCUAACACAUGCAAGCCGAGCGGUAUUGUUUCUUCGGAAAUGAGAGAGCGGCGUACGGGUGCGGAACACGUGUGCAACCUGCCUUUAUCUGGGGGGAUAGCCUUUCGAAAGGAAGAUUAAUACUCCAUAAUAUAUUGAACGGCAUCGUUUAAUAUUGAAAGCUCCGGCGGAUAGAGAUGGGCACGCGCAAGAUUAGCUAGUUGGUGAGGUAACGGCUCACCAAGGCGAUGAUCUUUAGGGGGCCUGAGAGGGUGAUCCCCCACACUGGUACUGAGACACGGACCAGACUCCUACGGGAGGCAGCAGUGAGGAAUAUUGGUCAAUGGGUGCAAGCCUGAACCAGCCAUCCCGCGUGAAGGACGACUGCCCUAUGGGUUGUAAACUUCUUUUGUAUAGGGAUAAACCUACCCUCGUGAGGGUAGCUGAAGGUACUAUACGAUAAGCACCGGCUAACUCCGUGCCAGCAGCCGCCG
rnacentral:rRNA from 1 species